AGUCAACCAUGCCUUCGGGAAGUGACCUUCUGCUCAUCCUACCUGAGUUGACCUCGGAAAAUGUAGCGGGAUCGGUGGGAUCCAAGGGUGAAGUGUAAAUUUAAACAUAUGAAUUCCUGAUGGCAUCACUUAUUGUAUCUCAUGGACUUUUAGACCUGUCAAACCUAUGUCCUAAAUGCUGGAGGUGAUGGAAGCUAUAACAGGCAUGUCAAACACAAGACCCUUGGCCAGAUCUGGCCCAUGAUGUGAUUAGAUCUGGCUUGUGGAGCUGCACUGGAGACAGCGAGGGGCCAUCCUCUGCCGCCUCAGGCCCAACCCAGCCUGGCUGGGCGCUUCCCCUGGGCGCGCACACAGGAGGCAGCAAGCAUGCAGGGGCUGGCAUUUGGGGCGAAAGAGAAGUGCUCAGAACAUGGUCAGCCUACAGGGCAAGGUUACCAGAGAUGCCAGGCCACGCACACUCGCCGCCUCCUUGUGCAUGCCCAGGGCCAAGGGCCAAGGUAGUGGGGGUAGCCCCUUGUUUUCUCCAGGCCAGCCUGUGGGCCAGAUCUAAGGCUGACCAUGUUCCAGCCCAGAUAGCAACCACAAAGUUGUAGAUCAGCGCUACGCCUACCAUGGCCUGCUCGCCGGCCUGGCCUCACAGCCUGGGAGUGCUUCCCUUUCACCAGGACUGCCCCCCAUUCCUGCCCCUGUGUGGGAAAGCCACAGCCAUAGGCAAGAAUGGCUACCGACAGCACUGCCAACUUCGCCUUGUCCCCUCAUUCCUUCCUGGGUGUGGAGGUAGGAAGGAAGGAGAUGGGAAUGAGAAGGAAGGAGGCAGGGAGGAAUUUUUGUAUAAAACUUUACUUAAUCUCAGUGGAUAGCAGAUAUAUAUUACCUUGGAGAACAUUGCUUUUGUAAUAUCAAUGGAUAAACUUUAUACACACUAGAUCAGAAGUCAGCAACCAAUGGUUCUAUGUAACAACUGCAAGAUUAAUUGAAAGUUAAAAGACGUCUCAUGCUCCCAGAUUAAAAUCACAUCAGAAUUUCCUAAAGUGAUUUGAAACAACCCUGAGGGUGAAAUGUGGUGCUACAAUGAAGUUUCUAAACUGCAUUUGCUCUCAUCCACAAACUGCAUUCCCUGGCUUCUCGACAGGAUCUCUCUUGGCUCAGCAGAAUCAAUUUGGCUCAGCUGUGCAAGCUCACAUCAUUCUCUCCGAUGCUGCUUGGGGGCCGCACUCCGCCAUGUCUUUUUAGUCAUGCUGGCACGAAAGGGCCAUUGCCGUGGUGAUGGACCCGAGUGUGGCUUGAGCUGGGCUUGAGCCAAGUGGGGAAAGGGCGUAGAACUGCGGCCACUCGUGGCCACGACUAGCAUUAUGUGUGAUUAGCUGAAUCGGGAUGUGAAGCUCUCACGAAUAGUGGGUGAGUCCAAGAAAGCAGGAUGUCAUUGCUUUGAGGUGCCAGGGAGGAGGGGGUCUCUCCCCCCCCCCCGGUUUCCCAUAGGCUCCCCACAGAAAGAGUCCUCUGAGAAGAGUGGAUUUACAGUAUUAAAAAAGAAGACAAUGGUGAUUUAAUGACUACUGGAUCUCUAUAUGCGCUACCAAUUAUCUGAGGCCUGGGAUCCCCAUUUGUCCCACUCAGAGGCCCAAUAUAUGCCUGUACAUGCCUGCUAGGCAAUUUAUCUACUCUACCUGUAUUUAUGUGUAUUCUUCAAAAUAUGUUUAAACUUUAAAAAAAAUGGAAAGCUGACUUACCACAAAGCAAAACACCAUCCUCCAGAAAAUAAUUUAUUUAUAUUCCAUCAUUAUUUUUAUAAGUAAUUCAAAGCCGCAAACAUUUGAAAUAUCCCUCCUCCUAUUUUCCCCACCACAGUCCUGUGAGGUAGGCUAGGCUAAGAGAGGGAAUGACUGGCCCCAAAUCAGCCAGUCAGUUCUUAACGCACUGAUCCAUUUCUGAAGUUUCCUGCAAUGUGAAAGAGAGCUAUCUGCAGCCAGUUUUUUGUUUAGAAGUGCAUCCACAUGUCUUGAAAAAUCAGAAAAAUUAGGGAGAGACUGGAAGUCCUCAGCGAGACAGUCAGGAAAUCUGUGGGCUCUGAAAAGCUUCACGUAAAUCCUGGCUGACAAACAGUUGCAGAGGAUCUUUUAGACCAGAGGUUUCCUGGAGAGGAUGUGGAGAAGGACCUGCAUCUCAAUAGACCAAGAGGAAUGUAGCUGGUUCCUCAGAGGUCAGAGAUUCGCUCUCUGAAUCAGCAGCGGGGGAGGUGGCAUUGUAAAAUGGACUAAGUAUUGAACAGGAGCAGUGUUUGGGAGAAAUGUAGAGAUCUGGUGAGAAGAUUUAAAUAACUAACUGAUACAAAUUUGAAUUUGGAAAUGGGAAAUAACUUGGAGAAAGAAAUGAGAAUUGGGUAACCCAUUGAAAUAAAAAGCUUUGAAUUUGGAUUUGAAAAGCCUGUGUCUUUAAAAAGAGACUAAUUGACAAUUGGGAAACUCAUGGAAAAGAACAAGGGGGAAAACAG